GGGGAAGGUGACCGGGUAAUGUUGGAGACUGGACUGCUGCUGAAGAUGAUAAACUUCAGGAGGGAAGAGGCUUUGAAUGAACAUAAUGGCCCCUCAGUCAGAGAUACUGGAGGGUAAGGGAGAUAUGUAGCCUCACUUGUCUGGCAGCUUAUCCAAGUUUUCUCUGGUUCCCUGUGGAGUGCAUAUUAAGCCACUGGAAAGAGAAGAGUGGACAAAUGUGAGGGAAGAGAUAGGCGACGUCCAUGGGCUGGGAGCCGGCAGCGAGGGAAGCUGAGAUCAAACACAGGACGGGCCGCAGCCAAGGGGACCGGCUGACAGAGAUA